GGUUGGAUCAUUAAAAAUCUAACUUUUUGAGGCUAGUAUCUUCGGCUCUUUGGGCCUUGGAUCUAGUUUUCAUCAACCCAACCUUUGUGAACUGUUUUUGUAUUUUGGACGUGGGUUAGUGUUAGUCGCAAGGCGAGCACUUGGAAGCGGGCCUCUGGCUCGACCCGUCCAACGGGACUUGAGAUCUUGAUCUCUUGGCCCAACCUUAAGCCUAUAAUUUUGAAGAACUUGUCUUAAAUUUUUUGAAUCUAUUUAAAAGAUGGAAAAAAAAACAACAACUUUUGACAACGGAUCUCUAGGCUCUCGCAACGAUGAAGAACGCAGCGAAAUGCGAUAAGUAAUGUGAAUUGCAGAAUUCCGUGAAUCAUUAAAUCUUUGAACGCACAUUGCGCUCUUUGGUACUCCGAAGAGCAUGUCUGUUUGAGAAUCAGUUUAAUUUAUUAACCUUGAUUGGCUUGAAGCUACAGCUACUUGCCAAUCUCGGUUAGAAUAUGGGCCUAUCAUUCAUCUUGAAGACCUUGAAUCGAACUUAUUACCCAGCCUGAUUAAGCGCUCAAAUGCACUUUCUCUCUUGCCUGGAAAGCAUGACCAAUGAACUGAAUUAGGCUUUUGAGGCCUUAUUUCUCUUCUUGAUUGCCGACCAUCUAAAGGGCUUGAGUCGAUCGUCGACUGCAGUGAAAUGAAAGGGAAGGAAUAAACAAACUUUGCUUUGAAGAGAAAUCUUUAAGACUUGAUCUCAAAUCAGAUAAGACUACCCGCUGAACUUAAGCAUAUCAAUAAGCGGAGGAAAAGAAACUAACAAGGAUUCCCCUAGUAACGGCGAGUGAAGCGGGAAGAGCUCAAAUUUGAAAUCCGGCUGGUUCCCAGUCUGAAUUGUAGUUUAAAGAAGUGUUUUCGGGACGGAGGCCAGGGUCAAGUCCUUUGGGAUAAGGCGUCAUAGAAGGUGAGAAUCCUGUAUGCGCUCUGGCUUACCACCUAUGUGAUACACUUUCAAAGAGUCGGGUUGUUUGGGAAUGCAGCCCAAAAUGGGUGGUAAAUACCAUCUAAAGCUAAAUAUUGGCGAGAGACCGAUAGCGAACAAGUACCGUGAGGGAAAGAUGAAAAGAACUUUGAAAAGAGAGUUAAAAGUACGUGAAAUUGUCAAAAGGGAAACACUUGAAACCAGUCUUGCGGGUUGAAUCCCAACUGGCCUAACGGUCAGCAUAUGUUUCAACUCGCAGGUCAAAAUCAGUUUCGACUGCCGUACAAGGCUUGAAGAAGGUGGCCUUCGGGUGUUAUAGCUUCAAGUUUAUGCGGUGGUCGGGAUUGAGGAACGCAGUGCAGUCUUGGAGACCCGAUCGCUAGUUGAUGCUCUUGCCUCGACAACUUGUUGACUUGGUGAGUGAUAAGGCUACUCGGUUGGUUUAUCACACCUGUACUUAGGAUUUUGACAAAAUGGUUUUAAAUGACCCGUCUUGAAACACGGACCAAGGAGUCUAACACAUAUGCGAGUAUUUGGGUGGAAAACCCAGAGUGCGCAAUGAAAGUAUUAAGGUGGGAUCCCCCUAAAAAGGGUGCACCAUCGACCGGUCUGGAUAUUUAUUUGAUAGAUCUGAGUAAGAGCAUAUUUGUUAGGACCCGAAAGAUGGUGAACUAUGCCUGAAUAGGGCGAAGCCAGAGGAAACUCUGGUGGAGGCUCGUAGCGAUUCUGACGUGCAAAUCGAUCGUCAAAUUUGGGUAUAGGGGCGAAAGACUAAUCGAACCAUCUAGUAGCUGGUUCCCUC
rnacentral:misc_RNA from 1 species